ACUCUAUAGUUAAAAGAGGAUAGACACAUCGAACCUGCAUGGGGAUAAAGUACCACCAUAGCAGAGGAUUACAAAAUACAAUAAUGUCAUAAUGGAAGAUAUAUGAGUGUAUAUGUAUAUGUAUAUGUAUAUGCAUAUAUGAUGAUUAUGCUGACAAAACAAUCACAAAGGAUACAAAAUGUUGCUAGUUUGAAUCAUCGAUACAAUUCCUAGCCAAUCUUUAUAGGAGGGAAACAACUGUUGGAGAGAGAGAUCA
rnacentral:lncRNA from 1 species